GCCAACUGUUGGGAUAGCUCAGUUAGUAGAGAAUGAGACUCUUAAUCUCAGGGUUGUGGGUUUGAAGCCCACAUUGGGCA